CAGAUGAGACGCAGGACUGGCAGCAGGAAUCCAGGGGGAGAUUCUAAGGAGGGAGACAGAGUGAAUAUGAGGCGUAAACAAAUGGAAACGUUAUCUGAAAGCCUGGUCUUACUGUUUCUUGGUAGUGGUAAUUGUACAGGAAGGUUGUUAGGUCCAGGUGAGCUGAGGAGAUCCACAGGUAAAGGGAUUGUUUUGUCCAGAGGUGUAGGAGCAGGAAUGGACGUUGGUAGGUGAGCGGCUGAGAGCGGGCGGCCAGGGGAUGAAGCAGUGUGUCAGGCAGGCUGAGAUCCGGGUUUGUUCUGGAGGAGGUGAGAGAUUGUGAGGAACAUGGAGGAGAGCAGGAGAGGGCAUCAAGGGUUUUUCAGACGACAGGUUAACCAGAGCAAAAAUACGAAUGUCUAAGUCGGGUCGGAGGCUAGAGCUACCUAAAAGAGUAAUCAUCCGGCGUGGUGAAGUUUCACACUGCUCCUUAACCUGGGCCUUGAUGGUGAGAUCAGCUGCAGCUGGGAGCUCUCAGACACGCCCACCUGUGAAAACAAUACAGAGAUCAGGGUUACAGGCUGGCAGCUCACCACGGACCAUGACACAUUUAUAAUUUCCUUAUUAAUUUUCCCUCGUCCUGCUCCGGAGCAUCGCUACAAGCAUAUAAAAGCCUGGAGGGAUACAAAUGGACACAAUCAGGGUUUGUUGUUGGUAUCCAGAUCUGGAUUCUUCCUGCAAAGGACAGCGCUGUUGUCACUGGGAGGCCCCUCAUAAAUCUGUGUGACAGACAGGCGAGAGAUGUCAGCGCAGAGGAGCCAGAAGAAAUAGCAGAAAAACUUUUAGAAAACAUGACUGUGACCAAGGAACAGAGUGAUAUUGUGGAAGAGGAGACUCGAGCACAGUCAAAGUCCAACAUUUGGUUUCACCAAAGAAGUGGUAGAAUAACAGCGUCCACCUUCAAAGCAGCCACAAAGACAGACAUCACAAAGCCCUCCGUGUCCCUGAUUAAAAAAAUAUGCUACCCUAAGUCUCAUAGCUUCACCAGUGAGGCUACCACGUAUCAAGUGAAAUAACUUGGUUUUGUGUGCUACUUGAACUAUUUAUCAUCAUUUUAUAGAGAUUUGAUUCACAAAAGUAUCUAAAAGGAUUUUGUUGUUUUACAGAUGGUAACCAUGAGGAGCUGGCAAGAAAUUAUUAUGAAAUUCAGCAUCGCCUUGCCCAUUCCGAUGUCCUAGUAGAAACAGCUGGUUUCAGGAUCUCGCCCACACAUCCAUUCAUCAGAGCCUCACCUGAUGGUUAUGUUUCUUGCAGUUGUUGUGGUCCAGGUCUUAUAGAAAUAAAGUGCACAUUCUGUGCAAAGGCACUUUCUGUGGAUGAGGGAGCAGAUCCAGCAAACUUUUGCCUUGAAAAAAAUGAACAGGGAACCAUCAGACUAAAGCCGGAUCACGCAUACUAUUAUCAAGUACAAAUGCAGAUAUUUGUUUCUGACAGACAAUAUUGUGAUUUCGUCCUCUGGACUGAAAGAGACUGUGAUUCACCAUUUGUUGAAUGUGUGACAGCAAAUGUGUCAUUUUUUGACAAACAGCUUGAAUGUGCAAAAGCUUUUUACAAAAAAUGUAUUCUCCCAGAGCUGCUUGCAAAGACUUUUUCAGCACCAAAGCCAGCAGCAGCAUGUGCUGAUAAUGGUCAACAGUGGUGUUACUGUCGCGAGCCAGAGGACGGCGACAUGUUGGUGUGCACCUCAAGUUUUAGUUCUUUAAAAAAAAGUUUCAUAAAACUUGUCUGCACUUGAAAAGGAAUCCUAAACAAUGGAAAUGUCCAAGCUGUAGAAAAGUUAUCAACUCACAAAAAAAGAAAUCUCUGACAAGCGGAAGAGUAAUAAACAAAUGUGGGUUGCCCUUAUUUGUAGCCCGUAAUAGCAUACUGGCACAGCUUCAAGACUAACACAUCAGUCUGUUAAUAAGAAGUAUGUCACAUACAACAAGAGGCUGAUGAAAGUAAGAUUCAUUUUUUUAUUCAUGUUUGUAUUUAACAUGCCAACAAAAAUGUUACAAUUUUCUGAAGACUAAGAAUUGUACCUUUUUGGUCUGUUGUAGUAAAUAAAAAUGAAAGUUCA